UACGUAGGGUGCGAGCGUUAAUCGGAAUUACUGGGCGUAAAGCGUGCGCAGGCGGUUUUGUAAGCCAGAUGUGAAAUCCCCGGGCUUAACCUGGGAAUGGCAUUUGGGACUGCAAGGCUGGAGUUUGGCAGAGGAGACUGGAAUUCCUGGUGUAGCAGUGAAAUGCGUAGAUAUCAGGAGGAAUACCGAUGGCGAAGGCAGGUCUCUGGGCUAUAACUGACGCUGAGGAGCGAAAGCGUGGGGAGCGAACAGG
rnacentral:rRNA from 1 species